rnacentral:tRNA from 1 species
UCCGAUAUGGCCCAGUAGUUAGGAUUCCUCGCUUUCACCGUGCAGCCUGGGUACGAUUCCCCGUAUCGGAG